UCUCCUGUUGUUUUUGGACUACAAUUCCCAUCACCCCUGACCAUGGAACCUGCUAGCUAGAGAUGAUGGGAGUUGUAGUCCAAAACAACAGGAGA